CUCAGUUAUUAUUAUUAUUUUUAGAGAUGGAGUUUCACUCUUGUUGCCAAGGCUGCAAUACUGUGGCAUGAUUUCAGCUCACUGCAACCUCCGUCUCCCAGGUUUAAGCAAUUCUGCCUCAGCCUCCCGAGUAGCUGGGAUUACAGGCAUGCACCACUAUACCCAUCUAAUUUUGUAUGUUUAGCAGAGAUGGGGUUUCUCCAUGUAGAUCAGGCUGGUCUUGAACUCCUGACCUUGUAAUCUG
rnacentral:lncRNA from 10 species